rnacentral:rRNA from 1 species
CGCUAGCUACAGGCUUAACACAUGCAAGUCGAGGGGCUGCAUGGUCUUAGCUUGCUAAGACUGAUGGCGACCGGCGCACGGGUGAGUAACACGUAUCCAACCUGCCGUCUACUCUUGGACAGCCUUCUGAAAGGAAGAUUAAUACAAGAUGGCAUCAUGAGUCCGCAUGUUCACAUGAUUAAAGGUAUUCCGGUAGACGAUGGGGAUGCGUUCCAUUAGAUAGUAGGCGGGGUAACGGCCCACCUAGUCUUCGAUGGAUAGGGGUUCUGAGAGGAAGGUCCCCCACAUUGGAACUGAGACACGGUCCAAACUCCUACGGGAGGCAGCAGUGAGGAAUAUUGGUCAAUGGGCGAGAGCCUGAACCAGCCAAGUAGCGUGAAGGAUGACUGCCCUAUGGGUUGUAAACUUCUUUUAUAAAGGAAUAAAGUCGGGUAUGCAUACCCGUUUGCAUGUACUUUAUGAAUAAGGAUCGGCUAACUCCGUGCCAGCAGCCGCGGUAAUACGGAGGAUCCGAGCGUUAUCCGGAUUUAUUGGGUUUAAAGGGAGCGUAGAUGGAUGUUUAAGUCAGUUGUGAAAGUUUGCGGCUCAACCGUAAAAUUGCAGUUGAUACUGGAUAUCUUGAGUGCAGUUGAGGCAGGCGGAAUUCGUGGUGUAGCGGUGAAAUGCUUAGAUAUCACGAAGAACUCCGAUUGCGAAGGCAGCCUGCUAAGCUGCAACUGACAUUGAGGCUCGAAAGUGUGGGUAUCAAACAGGAUUAGAUACCCUGGUAGUCCACACGGUAAACGAUGAAUACUCGCUGUUUGCGAUAUACUGCAAGCGGCCAAGCGAAAGCGUUAAGUAUUCCACCUGGGGAGUACGCCGGCAACGGUGAAACUCAAAGGAAUUGACGGGGGCCCGCACAAGCGGAGGAACAUGUGGUUUAAUUCGAUGAUACGCGAGGAACCUUACCCGGGCUUAAAUUGCAGAUGAAUUACGGUGAAAGCCGUAAGCCGCAAGGCAUCUGUGAAGGUGCUGCAUGGUUGUCGUCAGCUCGUGCCGUGAGGUGUCGGCUUAAGUGCCAUAACGAGCGCAACCCUUGUUGUCAGUUACUAACAGGUUCCGCUGAGGACUCUGACAAGACUGCCAUCGUAAGAUGUGAGGAAGGUGGGGAUGACGUCAAAUCAGCACGGCCCUUACGUCCGGGGCUACACACGUGUUACAAUGGGGGGUACAGAGGGCCGCUACCACGCGAGUGGAUGCCAAUCCCCAAAACCUCUCUCAGUUCGGACUGGAGUCUGCAACCCGACUCCACGAAGCUGGAUUCGCUAGUAAUCGCGCAUCAGCCACGGCGCGGUGAAUACGUUCCCGGGCCUUGUACACACCGCCCGUCAAGCCAUGGGAGCCGGGGGUACCUGAAGUGCGUAACCGCGAGGAGCGCCCUAGGGUA